AUUGAACGCUGGCGGAAUGCUUUACACAUGCAAGUCGAACGGCAGCACGGGUGCUUGCACCUGGUGGCGAGUGGCGAACGGGUGAGUAAUAUAUUGGAACGUACCCAGUAAAGGGGGAUAACUAACCGAAAGGUUAGCUAAUACCGCAUACGACCUGAGGGGGAAAGCGGGGGAACGAAAGACCUCGCGUGAAUGGAGCGGCCGAUAGCUGCUUAGCUAGUUGGUGAGGUAAAGGCUCACCAAGGCGACGAUCAGUAGCUGGUCUGAGAGGAUGAUCAGCCACACUGGAACUGAGACACGGUCCAGACUCCUACGGGAGGCAGCAGUGGGGAAUUUUGGACAAUGGGGGAAACCCUGAUCCAGCCAUUCCGCGUGAGUGAAGAAGGCCUUCGGGUUGUAAAGCUCUUUCGGCAGGGAAGAAACGCUCUGGAUUAAUACUCCGGGGUAAUGACGGUACCUGAAGAAGAAGCACCGGCUAACUACGUGCCAGCAGCCGCGGUAACAC
rnacentral:rRNA from 1 species